rnacentral:antisense_RNA from 1 species
AUCACAAAGGCGGUGAGACUGCAUUCACUUACAGGUUCCUAUUUAGGGCCAAGUUGCUCUGCCUUUCCAAAUCAGCAUGGGCCUCAGGCCCUAGCUCAGCCCUCCAGGCUCGACUUACCCGGCUGAUGAGCUGCUCGCCCGUCUCGGAGGCAGUGAUGAGUUUGCAAAGGGCUUGGAGGGCAUUAUUGGGCAGGCCUAGACCAAGAAAAAAGGGUAGAAGUUAUUCAGAAGGGCCUCUGCACCCAAAAGCCUGCCACCUUCCCAGGGGAAAGAACCCUAAAUCCUUGGCAUCGGUGGCAUUUUUCAGAAGCUCAGCACAGCUAGACAUGUAUGUCUGUGUAUGACUUGGAAAAGGACAGCGUGGUCUCCCAGGAAGGUGGGUGGAAGUGGGGUGAGUCCUGACCCUGCCACAGUCCUCUAGGCGUGGCCGCGCUCCCAGGACCCAGGCAGCACCACCCCGAGUCAAGCACCCAGCUUCACCCUGGGGUUGGCCGCACAGCUUCACCGGGGCCACAGCUGCUGAUGACAAUGGCAGUAGUGGCCAGUGUCUGCUGGCACGACCUCCCAUCAUCCCAGGAAGGGGCAGCGCCAGCGGGGCACAGAUGCCUGCCAUCACAGAUGGAAACAGCAGGUAAAUGGCACUUGUUUCCCCCAGGUGUGGAGAUGCUUGUGUCUGGGACCUCCUGCCAUUUCUCAGGACACCAUCCUGCUCCUAGCUGGGAGAUUCAGCAUCCUCAUGAAUGCAGGGCCCAAGGCCACCAACUGUUCCACCUGCUGUCAGCCAGGCCUGUUGCCCCAGCCCUAUACCCACAGCUCACCCAGCAGGGACUGGAGUGUGCUGCUGCACUGCUGGAGCCGGUCGCCCGGGUCGGAGGUUGGGAAGAAGACAGCCGCUGGCAGGCCGCUGGUUGGGGGGUCCAGCCGGAAGCCCACAGCGGUGAGGAGGGCCUGCCAGCCAGGGAUGCCACCCACUUUGUUCUCCACACUCUGCUGGGACGUGUACAUGGCAUUGCGCUGCCCAUUCUGGAUGCGCUGCAGGGACUUCUCCACCUGGGGGGGAAUUGGGGUAAACACUGGGAUGCUGGAGCUCAGGCAUCCCAGACAGGAGGAGUGUGUACUCACACCAGCCAGGAGGAAACAAGCCUGCCUGAGAGGACAGAGGAUCAGCCCUGGCUGUCCCUCGGGAGCGGGGGGCCUCCAAGGCACACUGCCCACUGGGUCAAGGAGUAUCCAGGAGGAGUUAGAAGCAUGACCCAUCCGCCUGGCACCAGCACCUGGGGCUGCCAGGCAGCCACCCCUGCAGCUGUGUUGACAGGGCCUGGCAGAGGGACUGACCCACCUUUGGAAAAUGACACCAGCAAUAUCAGGAUGUGUCAACUGGAUUUAUGUUAAGAAAAUAGGAUUUUUGGCGUUCCUCUGUUUCCCAAAGUUUGAGACACUUUCAGACACUCUGCUUUGCGGUUGUGGCCGAUGUUACCCAUGGGUGGGACUUUUGCUUUGCUCUAGAUUUUUGUAAUACCCUGGGGAGUUUCAGGGGCCAAUGCUGAGAGAAGACCACAGGCUGACGCAUCAUGAGGUGCCUAACUUACUGAGAAUCAUGCCUGCUGUGAUGCGCCCUUGAAAAUCAUCAGGACUGGAUGGUAGGGGUCCUGAGAGGAUUGGGGGAGGAGGCCCUGAUAUGACAGAGUGGACAGAGGCUGUGGAACCCAGGAUGGCCAGCCUGCUCCACAAUCCUCAUCCCUACAGACCUUCCUGUGUGGCUCCUAAAUAAGAGGAAACCCACUCCUGAUAAGUCAGGAGCUUUGAAGAGUGAUUUUGUUUAAAUGGUGCAAACAAGCAAGCCAAUCUUGGGGAGACAGGGCUAAACUAAGUCCUUUAAGAAGCUCUACAUACUGACAAGAUUCUAGUUCCCUUCCACCUUAUAUGCUGCAAAGUAAAAAGUAUCACUGAAUGAGAAAAUCAGCAUAAAGAAGCCCAAUAAUGUCUGCCUGAGUUUCCCCUAUGAUGACUUUUGGUACUUUUUGGGGAAACAUUAAGUAUGAAGUUAUUUCAAAAUAAUUUUUUGGUGCCUCUGCUUGGUGAUGCCUUAAACUCUGGGUAAGAGAAACACCAGGUGCCUGUCAGGAGAUGGCCUCUUCCAGGUUUCUAGUUAGGCUACAAACAGCUAGCUGGCUGUUGUCAUCAAAAUAAAAGCUUUCUGAAGGUGGAGGCAUCUGAUACCCAGAGUGCUGCUAUCAGCCGGCACGGUGGGCCGCUGGGUGGCAGGAGCGUCAAGAAGGCCAGCUCGCUUCCUAUCUGGGAUUCAGAAUCAGCCAUGGAAACUUGAGAGACCUAGAGAAAAUAACUUCUUUCACUUUGAACUGAUUCUUUGCUUCAUAAGAAAAGUAUUAUCCAGCCACAAAAAUGGUCAAAAUUCAGAUCUACAAAAACCUGUCAGGCAGAAACUGACCCCACUUAGGCCACGCCAAUGAGCAAGUCAUCAAAGCAGCCAAGACAGGUCCUGUGGGGGCCACCCAUGCACAGGGCCCAGCCUAGGUUCCUAACCCCGCCUAUGCUUUCCACCACCGUAAAGAGGCCCAUCUAGGUAAGACCUGUCCUGCCUGCCAUGGGGUAUUAGGGCAGAUGGGGUCUGAGGGCUCUGAGAGCAGCUGGCAGCUCAAGGGCAUCCGGAGUUGGAGGAUGGAGCAAUCCAGGCCCUUGUGGUAAAGACAGUCCUGCAGCCGGGCAGGCAGGGAUUCUGCAAGUGGAGUGCAAGGCGGGUGCGGAGCCCUGUGGGACCGUGGAGGGGUCAGAGGGAAGCCAGGAUUUUGGGGUAUCUGAGAGUUUGGAGAAGGGGAAGAAGAUUAAAGCUUGUUUCAAAAGUUUCUAAUCAGGUGGGCAGGGCCAAGGGUGGCUGUGGGGUGAGACCCAUAACUCAGAGUGGCCCACUGUUACUCUCUUGAUUUUGGGGCAUUUUUUUUCCAAAUUGAUUAUUCUUGCUGAAUGAGACCUGAGUCCUUGACUGUCCCCUUAAAGCCACUUGACUUGUUUUCAGUUCCACUGGCCUGUCGAGGUGUUUUCCACUCAACUCCACUCUUGCUUGUCUGCCCUCCCUGCCUGGGGCCCAGCCAGCAGUCAGCUCAAGGGCCAGGUGAAUUGGGUGGCUGUGCUCUGCCCACUGGGCAUCGUGUGGAUGGUGGGUGACCAGCCCCCUCAGGUGCUCAGUCAGGCCUCAAGCCUCGCUGUGUACCUCAGAGCAGCUCAGUACCCUGAUGUCACAGCAAAGAAACUUAGACACGACACAAAUUGGCUUCCUAAGGCAGCAAAGAAUGGCCAGGGGUCAUGAGGGCCGUGCCCCGCUUUUGGACAGACCUACUCUAAAGUCACGCUACCUGCGUGCAAAUCAUAAAAUCAACACUUUUGAGGAGAUCACAGCUAUGUCUUAGUAACACAGCCCAGUCCGACCAGAUAGACGGUGCCUCGUGACCCAAGAACAAGCCCCCAGCCCCCCACCGUGUGUGAGCCUUACCUUGGACUGCACGCUGAGGGAGCGGAUGGAAGGGACAGCAAGGAGGCCGAAGCGCUCGUAGAGGUACUCGUUGGAGGAGCUUCCCUUCAGGAGGGCGAAAGGAAUGAGGUAGAGCUCCCCCUCCAGAACCAGGAUGAGCUGCCGGUGCCGGCCCACGGGGCCACUGGAGUGCAUCAGGCCCUAUGGAGCAAGCACGGAGAGGCUGACAUGGGUGGCCCAGCAGGCAGGGGUUUCAGGCACCAGGACAACCCUAAGCCCUAGCCUGGAUGACACAAGCACGAGCAGAGACAAAUGGCUUCUCUGGAACAUCCAGCUCCGAAUUUUAACCCAGAGACUAUGAGAGACAGAGAUCGUCACAUCCCCCUCACCUCAUCUUCACGUCACCAUCGCUAUCCUCCACACCUACUUACUGAGCCACCACCAAGCAGUUACCCUGAAGUCCAGUUUCCAAGCCCACAGUUCUCCCAGGCAACCCCCAAUGGAUCCCGAAUGUGUCUUUGGGUGGUGAAUUCUGAUUGGAUUGCCGUUUCGGUCAGCGGGACCUUCUGUACAUGCCCUGGUGAGUACAGGUCGAGCUCUUCAGAAAGCACUCAUAGCAAAUGUUAUGUUGAUAAUGUCCUAAGAAAGACGUGCUUCCUGUGUAUCGCCAAGGUUAGAGGAUCUGCAGGCAACCUCCACGGGGCACCGGGGAGUUUCCUUUUUACUGGCGGACACGGCAGGCCUCUCAGGGGUUCACAGUAUCACAGGCCAGAGGAAUGAAAAUCUCUGAUCUCCAUGGGGGAGGGAAAGAAAAUGCCUGGGUCCAUGAGCUUUCAGACUGAUUAGACUUGGGAUGAAAUGGACUUUACUGUCUACAGUAAGGAUUCCAGAGGCAAAGGGCUGCAGGGUAUCCAGAUGCCCCAGAACUGUGUACAGGGCUUCACAUUUUUUCCUGACUCAUAUUUUUGAUGGAAUAAAUUUAUCAAACAGAACUGUUUAAGGUAGAGGAACCCUUUCUGUGAUGCUUCUGGGAAAUCCUGUCAUCAUGGGUGGAUACAUACAGUUUUGGCAAAGAUCACACACCUCCUGGAAAUCACCCUCAACCAUGACUGAAGCCCACCAAGACUGUAGAUACUGUAUUUCAGCCAGAAAUGGAAAAGUGAACAUUCAACCCAUUCAACUGUAUUCUUUGGCCAAACAACAGCCCACUGGUUUGCCUGAAGAACCUAAGAAGGUAUUGGAGAAACGUGACCAAUGGCCAGCAAGAGCCAGAAGGGCCUGCCUGAAACCCAGGGUCCAACUUCAGGCAAAUCAGCUUGAAGGGACUGUUCAAGCUGCAGGAGCCUCUGUGCAGUGGGCAGGGUUGGAGGGGCGGAGGGGAGCCUCUCUCUCUAUCUUGGCUGACCUGGUAAAAAUGAUCCCUCCACCCCUAGUGGCAGAAGACCUUGACCUGCCUGGAACCUGCCAGGGUAAGGCUAAGAUGGCUGCUUGUUGAACACCAGCUAGAAUACAGCCAGCACGCAGAUGACACUCAUGUAACAGCAGCCAUCCAGGUGAGAAUGCCACUUACCACGUGAGAUCUUGCUGGUUAUCCUGGGUGCUGCCACCACUGGUUUUAGUCAUACAGACAGCUUGCAAGUAAUUGCCUCCAUUUUUCCUCCUCCUAAUCAGUUGUGAAAAUGCUUGUUGUCCUUGGGUGACGUCUGUCCUCAUUUGAAUAUCACUACAGAUGUCUCAAUCAGAAAUCAAUUAGACAGCCUGAUGGUGGGGCUGCCAGUCUCAAGGGCCUCAUCCUCUACCUCAUACUGGAAUCUAGGUCUGAUUGUUUCUAACGACAAAAAUUCCCUGGCUAUACCCAAGCCUCCCAAUCUAUUUAGAAAACAGGCAGCCACGUGGUCAGUCUCAUUCCUGUUGCAUCUGUUCUAGGAGAGGCCGACUUAUCCUGCUACCUGAUUUUGCAAGGGGUAUUUUACAAAACACAAGGGAGUCCUUUCCCCCAGGGCAGUGAUUACAGUCAUGACCCAACCAAGGCCAAGCCACUCUCAUGGCUGAGCCCUUGGCAGAGCUAGACCCCUGCUUUCACUCUUAGAUGAGAAGUCUCAAGUGAAAUCCCUGAGCUCCAGUGCUUGGAAAGCAGUUCAACAGCCUAACAGACAUAAACAAGUUUUGAGUAAGUUUCUAGGAUUUUAAACAGGUGACUCCACACUUCGUGAAUCACAAGCUGAGGUGAAUGAGAUGUACUUUUCUUUCUGAUCAAAGUCAUUUGCUCUUGCUACCUGUCCUGGAACCUUGGUUUUUAAAUUUAAAUAUAGGAAACAGGAAUUUAAAUAAAGGGAAAUAAAAAU